ACAACAACAUUAGGACCGUCGGUCUACCGAGCAAAUAUCACCCGCUCGGUGGAAGAUCUUCCCUCUUCUUCAGAUU
rnacentral:pre_miRNA from 1 species